rnacentral:rRNA from 1 species
CCUACGGGAGGCAGCAGUGGGGAAUAUUGGUCAAUGGGCGCAAGCCUGAACCAGCCACGCCGCGUGAAGGAAGAAGGCUUUCGGGUUGUAAACUUCUUUUGACAGGGAAGAGUAGUAGACGGUAUCUGUCGAAUAAGCCACGGCUAACUACGUGCCAGCGGCCGCGGUAGUACGUAGGUGGCAAGCGUUGUCCGGAUUUACUGGGUGUAAGGGACGUGUAGCGGGGUUGACAAGUCAGAUGUGAAAGCCUGCGGCUUAACCGCAGAACUGCAUUUGAACCUGUUGAUCUUGAGUACUGGUGAGGCAGACGGAAUGCCUGGUGUAGCGGUGAAAUGCGUAGAUAUUA